ACAUAAACUCUUGAGACUUCAGAUGUGGAGAUGUUUUGUGAGAAGCUUUGAAAUCCACUGGCAUACACCAUUCUUUUAUUCAAGACAAAUAUGCGAGAGAAUCAGCAGGAGUCCAUUCUGACUUCUAGAGAGUGCCCUGGAGCAGUCCACAGGAAGGUGCUGGAAAAGGCAGCCGCAGAUAGUCCAGCAUCCAACCUAGUGUCAUGCACACAGUUGGGACUCAGCCACUGUUGCCUGAUUGAUAAUGAAGACAGUCACUGUGAUCAACCCAACAGUAAUUGAACGUUCAUUUUUAAUAAGAGAUGAGGAAACUGAAGCCUGAGAACAACAUGAAUUCUACAAUACAUUUACCGUCAGAAGGCAGCGGUGUCAACGGCCACGACGACACCUGGAACUGAUUCCAAGACUUGUGGUCACCGUGGGAAUGCUAUUUAUUGUACAUAGUGACUCACAAAUCUAGGUUAUGUGAACUAUA
rnacentral:lncRNA from 1 species